rnacentral:rRNA from 1 species
GCCCUUGGAUGACACUUUUCGGAGCGUAAACUCCUUUUAUAUAGGAAGAUAAUGACGGUACUAUAUGAAUAAGCACCGGCUAACUCCGUGCCAGCAGCCGCGGUAAUACGGAGGGUGCAAGCGUUACUCGGAAUCACUGGGCGUAAAGAGCGUGUAGGCGGGUGAAUAAGUCAGAAGUGAAAUCCAAUAGCUCAACUAUUGAACUGCUUUUGAAACUGUAUACCUAGAAUGUGGGAGAGGCAGAUGGAAUUAAGGGC